rnacentral:rRNA from 1 species
AGUGAACGCUGGCGGUAGGCCUAACACAUGCAAGUCGUACGGCAGCACAGAGGAGCUUGCUCCUUGGGUGGCGAAUGGCGGACGGGUGAGGAAUACAUCGGAAUCUACUCUGUCGUGGGGGAUAACGUAGGGAAACUUACGCUAAUACCGCAUACGACCUACGGGUGAAAGCAGGGGAUCUUCGGACCUUGCGCGAUUGAAUGAGCCGAUGUCGGAUUAGCUAGUUGGCGGGGUAAAGGCCCACCAAGGCGACGAUCCGUAGCUGGUCUGAGAGGAUGAUCAGCCACACUGGAACUGAGACACGGUCCAGACUCCUACGGGAGGCAGCAGUGGGGAAUAUUGGACAAUGGGCGCAAGCCUGAUCCAGCCAUACCGCGUGGGUGAAGAAGGCCUUCGGGUUGUAAAGCCCUUUUGUUGGGAAAGAAAUCCAUCUGGUUAAUACCCGGGUGGGAUGACGGUACCCAAAGAAUAAGCACCGGCUAACUACGUGCCAGCAGCCGCCGCCU